AGAACCGUAAUAGUUCUCCCAAUAUAACAAAUAUGAUUUGGGUAGAUAUGUGUGUGUGUGUGUGUGUGUGUGUCCAUUCAUAUCACACACACAUAUACACUCACACAAACACAUAUAUAC
ensembl:miRNA